AUUAGAGAUAGCACACAAGAUUCUAACCCAUUCAACUUUUGCUGUUUCGCAAAUUUCCCCCCUUUUCCUCAAAUUUCAUCUCUCCUCUCUCGCAAGCUUGUGAAUUCAGAAAUCUGUCUCACACGCACACACAGAAAGAUGCCUAUAGAGAUGCCGAAAGGGCUACCAUUCUCUGUAGAUACAUGGAGCCCUUCGAAGAAGAAGAAGAAGAGGCACCAUUUUCUUACUCAUGCCCACAAAGAUCAUUCCCAAGGAAUCUCCACUCACACUUCAUACCCAAUUUAUUGUACCCUUCUCACCAAAAGUCUCACGCUUCAACAAUACCCCAAGCUUGAUGAUUCAUUGUUUGUAGGUAUUGAAGUCGGCCAACCAGUCUCUGUCGAUGACCCGGAUGGCGUCUUCUUUGUUACUGCUUUCGAUGCAAAUCACUGCUCUGGAUUUGGGUAAUUAUCUAUCCCAUAUGCACUGUCAUCUAGAGGUUGGGGAAGUUUGACAUUUCUUUUAGCCAUUGCCGUUGCGACGGCAUUGUUAAUUAAAAGAUGCAUGGACGUGGAUCUGAACAUCAAAACCUAUCUUGACAUAGGUGAACGUGCAUUUGGAAUAAGAUGUCGAUGGCUCAUAUUAUUUUUGAUGAACAUAGAGCUAUUUUUGGUUGCAACCGGGCUCUUGAUCAUUGAAGGGGAUAAUUUGCACAAAUUAUUCCCCAAGUGGCAAUUAAGAUUGGACAACUACACAUGGGAGAAAGACAAAGUUUUGAACUGAUAGUUGGCCUCUUGGUAAUGCUUACUGUCUGGUUCAACAACCUCAGUGUUCUAUCUUAUAUCUUUGCCAUCGGUGUGCUGACGUCUACUGUAAUCCUUAGCUCAACUUUGUGGACUGGUGCAUUUGCUGGGAUUGGGUUUAAUGAGAUGGGGACGACUCUACAUUUGAAGGGAAUCCCUAUCGCUACCAGCUUAUUUGCUUUCUGCUACAGCACACAUCCUGUUUUCCCAACCCUGUACACUUCUAUGGCAAACAAGCUUCAAUUUACAAAGGUUAUGAUGCUUUGUUUUCUCUUCUAUACCUUGGCGAAUGUGUCCAUGGCAGUCUCAAGGCAUCUAAUGGUUGGCUCCAGGUAUCUAAUGUGUGGCUCAAAGGUGGAGUCACAGGUAAGCAGACACGAACCUGUAGCCCCACUGAAUUUUUUUUGUUUAGCAUUAUGCAUCUAUUGAUUCUUUAUUUUUGAAUUAUAUACCUAUAGAAUUUCACUUUUGCCCCCGCUGAAAUUUAGUGCCCCUACCCUCACAUAAUUUUCUAGGUGCCUCCCUGCAGAUAAGCUUAAGUCUUCCUACUAAAAGAUUAGUUCAAAAGUGAUCAUCUACACUACCUUGAUCAAUCCAGUCUCAAAAUAUUCAUUGAUGGUUAUACCGAUAGUGCACUUGAUUGAAGGUCUAUUUCACCAUUCUAACAAUAGGAACUUAGCCUAUUGUUCAAGACUAGCUUGGUGAUCAGCACAAUUGUUGUAGCUGUGACUGUUUCCCUUUUUGGAUCUCUCAUGUCACUUGUUGGAGUUUUUCUAGGUUUCACAACAUCUAUGUUACUGUCUUGCAUUUGCUACCUGAAGAUCAAAGGCAUUUAUAAGAGGGUUGGAUUGGAAUUGGUGGUUAUAGGUGCCAUCAUCUUAAUGGGUAUAUUCACGGCAAUUGUUGGUACUUGGACAUGGAAAUAAUAGGAUACUUCAGACUUGUCAAGGUCAGAUUUCUCAGUGGAAUUGAGAAUUAUAGUUAUUGAAGGUUUAUUUCUCUCAGGCUACGUUUGGUGUGCAAGAAUGGAAUGGAAUACAGCUCGAAAUGGAAUGAGAAUAUUAUUCCAUUGUUUGGUGUGACACGGUGAAUCGUUAUGGAAUGAAAUGAUUAUUACCACUCUAUUGUUUGGUUGACCAUCAUUAUAUCUAGAAUUGAAUGAUUUUUCUCAAAAAUACCCUUUGCAUUGGAUUGCAUUACUUUUUAAUAAAAUCAAUUCUAACGAUAAAUUAUGGAAUGUUAUAAGAUGCUCAAUACUGCCAUUGAAAAAAAUAAAGAAAAACCUUAAAAUAAAAUAAAAUAUCAUUUUUGACUCUUGAUGAUUGUUAAUUUUUAUUUUAUAUUAUCAUUGUUUCAUAUAUAUAAAUGUUCGAAGAGAAAGAGAUGGAGAAAUCACACAAACGUUUCAACACAAAGAUACGACAAAAAAAAAAAAAGAAAAAAGAAAAAAGAAAAAGAAAAAAGUGGUAUACUUAGAAAAUAAAGAGAUUAAUACCUGCAAUUUGGUUGAAGAUGCUGUAACUUUUUGUCAAUGACAGCCCUGGGUAUAUUCAAAAGAGAGGGAAGGUGAAAAACCUUUACCACGUCUAAUAAAGAAGUUGAAAAAUGGAAUAUGAUGAAGGACUUAUUGGGAAUAUUACAAAAAAAUUUAGUCUCACUAUGGAAUGGAAUGGUCAUUCCAUAGGUUUAGUAAUAUAACGAAUUUUUAUUCCCUAGAAUGGAUUUUCAUUCCAAUGGAAUGGUCAUUCCAUUUCAUUCCUGCACAUCAAACAAAUGAAUGGUUAGAAUGGGCAUUCCAUUCCAUUCCAAUCCUCCACACCAAACGUAGCAUUAGUACCUAAGCGGAGAAUUUAUAGGUACUGCUAUCUUUUGAUUUGGAUUUUAGUACCAAGUGCAAUGAUAUAUGUUUAUGUUAGUUUUAUUGUUCAUGUCUAAGAAGCACGGAAACGGAUACGGGAUACGGAUACGACAUGACACGGACACGGCGAAUAGUAUAUAUAUAUAUAUAUAUAUAUAUAUAUAUAUAUAUAUAUCACUGAUAUGUUAUAUAUAUAUAUAUCAGCAUCUUUAGGACACGGACACGGCGAAUUGUGGCACCUUUAGGUUAGUAUAUAUAUAUAUCAGCAUCUUUAGGGAGUACAAAACAAAAAAUAGAACAUAUCAGCAUUAAAAAUUUUAAAAAUAAAAAUAAAAAAAUUUAACAUAUCAGCAUUAAAAAUUUUAAAAAAAUAAAAAAAAUAAAAAUCCAGAAAAGUAUGUCCGAGCCGUGUCUGAGCCGUAUCCGAGCUGUCCGAGUCGUGUCCGAAAAUUAAAAAAAAUAAAAAAAUUCCAGACACGUUUUUUGGCGUGUCCGACACGUGUCGGGGCGUGUCCGACGCGUGUCCGUGUCCGACAUGUGUCGGACACGGAUUUUUCGCCCAUUUUGGAGUGUCCGUGCUUCCUAGGUUCAUGCUCUGUGUAUAUUGAACUCAUGUUUUUAUGUUUUCAUCUAAAUGCCAGUAGACUCUGUUAUGUGUUUGUGUAGUGUUACUUUUGAAAAUUGAAGUGUCUUUUAUCAAUUGGAACUGCAUUAGAAAAAAUUAUUUUUGCUGGAAAUGAGGUCCAGCUAUAAUGUUUUGAAGGAAGGUGUCGUAAAUGGUUUGUAUCUAAUUGGAAAAUGGGGUUUUACUAUGUAGAAUAUUAGGAAAAUGUGAUAUACCCUCCUUCGUUUUCAUUACACAACCGGUCCCAAGUCUAGAUAAAGGAGGAGGGUUGUGUUAUGCAGCUUGACAACAAUUCAAGUAAAACUUUGUCAUGAGUUACGAACAAAGUUCUUAUGUGCUAUCCUUUAAAAAAUGAGAACAGAGUUGUGUUAGACAUUUUUUUAACCAAUAUGAACAUGAAUCCCAUGACUAGUGGGGAAAAAGGCUUUGUUGUUGUUGAUGUUGAUUUCCUUAGUUGUAGGCUCAGCCAAAUCUGAUGGUUAGGAUUCGAUAGAGCUGAGAAGGAAAAAGGUUCUAAUAUUCCAAUUUUGCUAUCCAAACUCAAUUUGUUUAAUUGAGUUUAAAGUUGGUGAUUGGAUGAUGAUGCAAGCAAACUUAUAGGUUUUUAUUUUUAUUUUUUGUAGCACCUUCACUUCUGAUCAAACCAUUUGCAUUGGACAUUUGCUCAGCCCGUCUAAAAUGAUGCAAAGGGUUUUGCUUGUGAACUUGUCAUCUUUAGAGUAGCCAGCAACAGGGUAACAUUCUCAAUGUAUUUUUCAAGCGAGUGGCUAUUUGUUUCCGCUUGGUGGGUUGGGCUCUCUGACUGUUUUUUUUUUUUUACUUCGAGCUUGGGCUUGCUCCAAAAUAUUUCUCCUUUGCGAUUGUUUGGGCUUGCCCCUUCGCUCUAAGGCCUACUAGUAGUGUACAUAAUUUAUUUUAUAUUCAGUAUUGCUUAAACUUUUGGAAUAUAUAUAUACACACACGCGCGCGUCUAUCCAGUGAAUGGGAUCCAAUGUUGAUCUCAUCACUUCAUACGAGGAAAAAAAGCACCUGAAUGUCAGAAUUCAGAUGACCAUUUUGGUAGCUGAAGCUCUAGCAAUCACUGUUGAGGGGUUUUGUAAGUGAGAAUUGAAUCUGACAGAGACAUGGUGAAAGCUCUAGCAGAGUAGUUGAUGUCCAAGGACUGAAUUGGUAUUUCUCCUACCAUUAGGUUUAAAUAUUUUGAAUCAGUUAAAUGUGUCUUAUAACUUUUGUAAGAGAAAAUUCUACAUUUAAAGAAUUCUAGAUCAUAAUCUUAGAAAAUACUUUUACAUUUUUCUUCUUCUCAAGAACAAUAAUUCAAGGAGGAGGGUUCGAGAUGUUUCUAAACCUUUGUCACUUACCGAAAAAACUGCGCUAAUUCUCCAUGCAGAGUGUCCAAGUCAAGUCAGGGUAUGUUUUAGUUUUGACUCCACCACCAAACAACUUUGAUAUUUCUUUGCAGAAAAUCUAUGACAAAAUGUAAAAAAAAAAGAAAAAAAAAAAGAAAAAAAGAGAAAAGGAAUAUGUACUUUCAAUAGUCGCAUUUGGUAGCAUCGAAACGAUGGUAUGAAUUUGAAAUUGGACGACAUAAAGGUAUAAAUUUUUUCACUUUGCAGGGCGAUUAAACGUAGCAUCAAGUGUUUCUUGUUAAAAAAUUUUCUCUAGUUCUAGGAUUUUGACUAGAAGAAAUACCAUAAUUCUUUUGAGGUAUGCCAUUAAGAGUUAAUACUUUUCCAUUUUUUAAAGUCGAAGGUCGAGGAAAGUGGAUGGGUGAGCUUCCUUUCCGGAAAGAAAAAAAAAAAAAAAUAAUAAUAAUAAUUUAACCCAAAAAAAAAAAAAAUGUAUAGUUGGGUGAGUUUCAAGUAGAAGUUGAUAAAGUGAAGCACUUACAAGUUACAAAUGACUUUUCUUGCACUGUAUAGCACGUUAAUUGAGAAUUGGAAUCGACCAAGCAAUUAUUUUCCCAUGCCCCAGUGAUACAAAAAUUUCACCAAACCAAUGCCAAUUGCUUGCCAUGCCCUUCAUCAUCCAUGGUCCAACAAACUAACAAGCUUAUAAAAUAUUAUUUCAUUAUUAUCCUUCAAAUGCUCAUUUUCCUUUCAAAGCUGCUACCUGUGGCUAAUAAUUUUGGUGAAAUUUUAACCUAACUUUAUUUCAAUCUUUCGUAAAGAAUCGGCAAAAUGCGCAUUAUAUUCACAAAUAAUUU